GGUCGAUUUAAUUUAAUUCUAGUGGCGGACGGGUGAGUAACGCGUGGGUAACCUGCCUUAUACAGGGGGAUAACAGUCAGAAAUGGCUGCUAAUACCGCAUAAGCGCACAGAGCUGCAUGGCUCAGUGUGAAAAACUCCGGUGGUAUAAGAUGGACCCGCGUUGGAUUAGCUAGUUGGUGGGGUAACGGCCCACCAAGGCGACGAUCCAUAGCCGGCCUGAGAGGGUGAACGGCCACAUUGGGACUGAGACACAGCCCAGACUCCUACGGGAGGCAGCAGUGGGGAAUAUUGCACAAUGGGGGAAACCCUGAUGCAGCGACGCCGCGUGAAGGAAGAAGUAUCUCGGUAUGUAAACUUCUAUCAGCAGGGAAGAAAAUGACGGUACCUGACUAAGAAGCCCCGGCUAACUACGUGCCAGCAGCCGCGGUAAUACGUAGGGGGCAAGCGUUAUCCGGAUUUACUGGGUGUAAAGGGAGCGUAGACGGAUGGACAAGUCUGAUGUGAAAGGCUGGGGCUCAACCCCGGGACUGCAUUGGAAACUGCCCGUCUUGAGUGCCGGAGAGGUAAGUGGAAUUCCUAGUGUAGCGGUGAAAUGCGUAGAUAUUAGGAGGAACACCAGUGGCGAAGGCGGCUUA
rnacentral:rRNA from 1 species